CAUGCACGUUUCUCUUUCUAUUAACAAAUCAUUGCGUGAUUUUGUAGUUAACAUUCAUCAUCUUCAACUUUUGUGGUUUUUUCCAUCUUCUUCAUCCAUCGCCGUAUCUGUCACCGAUUUUAUGCAGCCUAUCUCCAUACAUGGAAACCGUAAUAUGCCCUAAUUCGUUUGGAGACAAUCAACCAUCCUUCGAUGACGUUGUAGAGAAUACAGGAGCGUUGUAAUUUAGGAGUGGAGAAGGCUUUGAAGCUUAAGAGCAAGCGUUUGCGUCAAUGCAAGAAAUGCCAGGAGUGGCGUCACCACGAUUCAAGGAAUUGCAACAAAUUCAAAGAGAAAGAGCAACGACGGUCUAGAAGAAAUUCUGAAGUUUGACACUAUGUAUUCUCUUUUUGAACUAACAUCAGUUUAAUUUUCAUUUUGGACGCCAUUUUUCUUGCAUUGUCAGGUUGUUUGAUAUGAACAUUUACUUCAAUUUGUUUGAUACGAACAUUUCGAUCA